rnacentral:other from 1 species
CAUUGUAAGGAAGCAAUCAUCAAUAGGAUGUUGAUGACUAAGGAUAGACAAUGGACCCCUCAUAGGAUUGAGGUUAUGGACAGCAUCAGGAAGAUGCAAGGGACACCGCUCAAGGAACAAGUGAUGUGCGCUAACGGGGAAUGUUAGCUAUCAGGAUGAUAAGGACACCGCUAGGACGGCGACGUAAGGACUGAGCUGACGGAAUCAGCCACUAUUAUGGAUGAUGCAUGGAGCACUAUUUAGUAGCCGGACUGCUGCGAGUAAGACCAUGACCCCGAUACAUUCGUGUCGGGGUCUUUCUUAUUUUC